GUUUGGUGGCGUGUGAGUUGUUGAAGCUGAUGGGAUGAGGUGUGGUGUGGCAGAUCGAGUAUCCAAAUAACGUGCAUCUGAUUCGUGGAAAUCAUGAAGCUGCGGACAUAAAUGCUUUGUUCGGUUUUCGGAUAGAGUGCAUCGAGCGGAUGGGCGAGCGUGAUGGAAUAUGGGCUUGGCAACGGAUCAAUCAACUGUUCAACUGGCUGCCGCUGGCUGCACUGGUAGAGAAGAAGAUAAUCUGCAUGCAUGGAGGAAUCGGGAGAUCGAUCAAUUACGUGCAGCAGAUCGAGAGUCUGCAACGGCCGAUCACUAUGGAAGCAGGCUCGGUGGUGCUUAUGGACCUGCUUUGGUCGGACCCAACAGAGAACGACAGCGUAGAGGGGCUGCGACCGAAUGCGCGGGGCCCAGGGCUGGUGACGUUUGGGCCGGAUCGGGUGAUGGAGUUUUGUAAGAACAACGAUCUUCAGCUGAUCGUGCGUGCACACGAGUGCGUGAUGGACGGGUUCGAGCGGUUCGCGCAAGGGCACUUGAUAACUUUGUUCUCGGGCACAAAUUACUGCGGGACUGCGAACAAUGCGGGGGCAAUCCUGGUGUUAGGAAGGGACUUGGUGGUGGUGCCGAAGCUGAUACAUCCCAUCCCUCCUGCCAUCACGUCUCCUGAAUCGUCACCAGAGCAGCAUGUGGAUGACACGUGGAUGCAGGAGUUGAAUUUGCAAAGGCCGCCGACACCCACUCGAGGGCGUCCACAAGGGGGAAAUGAUCGGGGUUCUUUGGCGUGGAUUUGAUAGUCGGCGUAGGUGUGGGUAGGAUGGCUAGGUGAGGCCAGUGGACGGCAGGAGUGAUGUUGAUGAGUUUACGGGUUUGUAAAGUACGGCAAUGUGCACUGAUUUUAGGAAUAAGAAGAGUCGCUCCCUAUUGGUAUUCUGGGGUUGCGUUGUGACGCACAAGCACAGGAGGUGGUAAGCAUGGUUGUUAUGGGGGACUGGGGGUGUGAGAGUUGCGAGUGCCGGAUGUGAAGCGUGCGGCAUCCGUGGGGUGGAGGUGUAGCGAAAGAAGGGAGAGGGUAAAGAGGGAAAAUUUUGAUAGGUAAGGUGGAAACUGUAGGGGCAUGGAAUUUUGGAAGGGCUUGAGCGAAGCGCAGGGUCAAAAUGGCGAGGAUGGUCCACGCAGUGGUCGGCUUGGAGUAGUUUUUACGUAGUGUUUUGAGUAGGUAUGAAUUUUGGGUGUUGGUGCGCGUGUUUGUGUACGCGCCUGUCUGUCGAUGAUUUCGAGUGAAGCACAGCGUGUUGUUCUGCCUGGAUCUUGACGCAACGACUCUCGCCUGGGUGUGAUCCUACGGAAAGAUGCAGACGGAGGGGUUCUAAAAUGAGUUUGUUGUUUAUUUGCAGAGAUUGAGCUUCAUGUGAGUGUAACAUUUAGUCGAGUUCCAACAAGAGGAACCGGUCGGAAUUCUGUGGGGACACUGGAGAAGACCUAGCGUUUGUAAGAUCUAGCUUCCGUUGAGGUUUGAAUUGGCGAUGUUGCACAUGUUUGACAACGAUCGCAAGGUAUGGUGGAGGUAGUCCGGUUAGUGGAAUCUUUGUAAGAAUGAGUUUAAACGGGAAUUGAGAAGGAAUACGUGGAAGGACGUGAUGUUGGGAAGAUAUGUGUAUUGGCGAGUUGGGUGGACGAAGCAUUGCUGGAGUGAAAUUGGUGGGCAGUGUAGCAUGAGACUCUAAAGUAUCGCGAUUCGUUGUGUGGGUAUGGUCGGAUGCCAGCUUGGUAUGGAAAGCUUAUAAAGCAUGUGUGAUUUCAGUGCUCAUUUCAAACGGAAGGAUAAGAAGCGAUCUUGAUGCAAUCAUGUGUUGUAGGAAACGAAACCUGUGUAGAAGUUGCAUCCAUUGUAAGUCACGUAAUUGGUUGCUCUUUUUGGGCCGGGGAGUUGACUACAUGUAUGUAGUUGUUCAAUUUAGCACAUGUUUCAAAAUGGAACAAUUCAUGGGGCAUGGGGAUUGUAUUAAAUCAGCUGGAAGUAGUUGUGUCAUGGAUGGAGUAUUAGGUGUAGCAGGAUAUGAAACUGAACAGUACGUUGAUCUAAACAAGGAAUGGAUGUCAUCUGUUGAGGGUAAAAUUUGUUUACUUACCAUCUUGGCUUUACACUCAAAAGUGCAAGUUUUAGGUGUUGCCAUCAACAGACAUUGUACCCAACAGACAGUAUAAAGUCAUCUUUGAUUGUCAA